AACGCAUAUUGCGCUCUCUGGCAUUCCGGGGAGCAUGCCUGUUUCAGCAUCAUUUGAACAUCUCAAAAUCAUUCUUUUUUUGGGAAUGGUUUUGGAAUUUGGGCUUUUUGUUGUGGGCAUAUAUUCACAACUCGCCUGAAAUGUGGUUAAAAAUGCAAGAACUUGAUGUAGAUGCGCGGCCGUAAAGACGAAAAGCUAAUUAGUUGACUUUGGUCAAACUUGCUGAAUAGUCUUAGCAACUGUGCAUGCAUACAUUCACAAGAUUGAUCUGAAAUCAGGUAGGAUUACCCGCUGAACUUAA
rnacentral:misc_RNA from 1 species